rnacentral:rRNA from 1 species
AUUGAACGCUGGCGGCAUGCCUUACACAUGCAAGUCGAACGGUAACAGGUCUUCGGAUGCUGACGAGUGGCGAACGGGUGAGUAAUACAUCGGAACGUGCCCGAGAGUGGGGGAUAACGAAGCGAAAGCUUUGCUAAUACCGCAUACGAUCUCAGGAUGAAAGCAGGGGACCGCAAGGCCUUGCGCUCACGGAGCGGCCGAUGGCAGAUUAGGUAGUUGGUGGGAUAAAAGCUUACCAAGCCGACGAUCGGUAGCUGGUCUGAGAGGACGACCAGCCACACUGGGACUGAGACACGGCCCAGACUCCUACGGGAGGCAGCAGUGGGGAAUUUUGGACAAUGGGCGCAAGCCUGAUCCAGCCAUGCCGCGUGCAGGAUGAAGGCCUUCGGGUUGUAAACUGUUUUUGUACGGAACGAAAAGACUCUGGUUAAUACCUGGGGUCCAUGACGGUACCGUAAGAAUAAGCACCGGCUAACUACGUGCCAGCAGCCGCAGUAAAAC